CCUACGGGAGGCAGCAGUGGGGAAUCUUAGACAAUGGGGGAAACCCUGAUCUAGCCAUGCCGCGUGAUCGAUGAAGGCCUUAGGGUUGUAAAGAUCUUUCAGAUGGGAAGAUAAUGACGGUACCAUCAGAAGAAGCCCCGGCUAACUCCGUGCCAGCAGCCGCGGUAAUACGGAGGGGGCUAGCGUUAUUCGGAAUUACUGGGCGUAAAGCGCACGUAGGCGGAUCAGAAAGUCAGAGGUGAAAUCCCAGGGCUCAACCUUGGAACUGCCUUUGAAACUCCUGGUCUUGAGGUCGAGAGAGGUGAGUGGAAUUCCGAGUGUAGAGGUGAAAUUCGUAGAUAUUCGGAGGAACACCAGUGGCGAAGGCGGCUCACUGGCUCGAUACUGACGCUGAGGUGCGAAAGCGUGGGGAGCAAGCAGGAUUAGAUACCCUGGUAGUCCACGCCGUAAACGAUGAAUGCCAGUCGUCGGGUAGCAUGCUAUUCGGUGACACACCUAACGGAUUAAGCAUUCCGCCUGGGGAGUACGUCGCGAGAUAACUACAAGAGUAGUAGACGNGNGAGAGCGACGACGACGACGACGGAGGAGGAG
rnacentral:rRNA from 1 species